CCUACGGGAGGCAGCAGUGGGGAAUAUUGGACAAUGGGCGAAAGCCUGAUCCAGCCAUGCCGCGUGUGUGAAGAAGGCCUUCGGGUUGUAAAGCACUUUCAGUGGGGAAGAAAGCCUUGGGGCUAAUACCCUCGAGGAAGGACAUCACCCACAGAAGAAGCACCGGCUAACUCCGUGCCAGCAGCCGCGGUAAUACGGAGGGUGCGAGCGUUAAUCGGAAUUACUGGGCGUAAAGCGCGCGUAGGCGGUCUGAUAAGCCGGUUGUGAAAGCCCCGGGCUCAACCUGGGAACGGCAUCCGGAACUGUCAGGCUAGAGUGCAGGAGAGGAAGGUAGAAUUCCCGGUGUAGCGGUGAAAUGCGUAGAGAUCGGGAGGAAUACCAGUGGCGAAGGCGGCCUUCUGGACUGACACUGACGCUGAGGUGCGAAAGCGUGGGUAGCAAACAGGAUUAGCUACCCGAGUAGUC
rnacentral:rRNA from 1 species